UACGGAAGGCAGCAGUGGGGAAUAUUGCACAAUGGGCGCAAGCCUGAUGCAGCCAUGCCGCGUGUAUGAAAAGGCCUUCGGGUUGUAAAGUACUUUCUAGUCGUGAGGAAGGUGUUAAGGUUAAUAACCUUAGCAAUUAGACGUUAGCGACAGAAGAAGCACCGGCUAACUCCGUGCCAGCAGCCGCGGUAAUACGGAGGGUGCGAGCGUUAAUCGGAAUUACUGGGCGUAAAGGGCACGCAGGCGGUUAAUUAAGUUGGAUGUGAAAUCCCCGGGCUUAACCUGGGAAUGGCAUUCAAGACUGGUUAGCUAGAGUCUUGUAGAGGGGGUAGAAUUCCAUGUGUAGCGGUGAAAUGCGUAGAGAUGUGGAGGAAUACCGGUGGCGAAGGCGGCCCCCUGGACAAAGACUGACGCUCAUGUGCGAAAGCUGGGGAGCAAACAGGGAUUAGAUACC
rnacentral:rRNA from 1 species